rnacentral:lncRNA from 1 species
UUGGGAAUCAUUACGACUCAUCACCACUUUAGAAACGAGCUCGUAUCAAUUAGUAUCAGAGCUAGAUAAAUUAGGUACGUAAUCGUAGUCUCAGUUUAAAAAAAUUCAAAAAAAAUUGAUUAAAAAAGUAUAUAUUACGAAAUUUAAAAAAUUGUAUAUAAAAAAUUUCUUAAAUUUAAACAAAAAAGAGUUGCAAGUGUGUGAAUCAUGUUUCUGGACAAGUAAUUCCUACUCAAAUUAGUGAUCAACCCCCCUACGCCACACUCAAACAAAUUCCUUCCUUCUUUCGAGCCUACCC